CCCCACACAGUCACCCCCAACCCCGCCACGGCGUCUUUCCUUCGCCAUGACGCCCCACUUCGUUCCUCGUGAUCCUGCCGCCAUCUUCCGG